rnacentral:lncRNA from 1 species
GUUCGUCCUACCCCCCGAACCCCCUCUGGCUACACGUAUGACAGCAGCAGGGAUUCAUUUGAACAUUGCAUGAUAUAUAGAUCUAGGCAUUACAGAAGGCUCUUCACCAGGUGCAUGUACAUAGAAAAUUAAGCUUUGUUAUGUAUGAAAUAAGCAUCAAAUUUGCAUAAAUCUAACACUAUCAAACUUCAUUCAAAUGGGUUUUUUUUCAUGACCCACUCCCUUCCUUUAUUAAUUUUAUGUUUAAUCAAAACAAUUAGUCAUAAAGCAAAUAGAAGCAACAAAGUCUUUACACGAAUGAUACAAUCCAC